CCUACGGGAGGCAGCAGUGAGGAAUAUUGGUCAAUGGGCUUACGCCUGAACCAGCCAAGUCGCGUGAGGGAAGACUGCCCUCUGGGUUGUAAACCUCUUUUGUCAGGGAGCAAUUGGCGCUACGUGUAGCGUUAUCGAGAGUACCUGAAGAAAACGCAUCGGCUAACUCCGUGCCAGCAGCCGCGGUAAUACGGAGGAUGCGAGCGUUAUCCGGAUUGAUUGGGUUUAAAGGGUGCGUAGGCGGAAUGCCAAGUCAGCGGUAAAAUCGCGGGGCGAAACCUCGCUCCGCCGUUGAAACUGGCGUUCUUGAGUGGGCGAGAAGUAUGCGGAAUGCGUGGUGUAGCGGUGAAAGGCAUAGAUAUCACGCAGAACACCGAGUGCGAAGGCAGCAUACCGGCGCCCAACUGACGCUGAAGCACGAAAGCGUGGGUAUCGAACAGGAUUAGAUACCCUUGUAGUC
rnacentral:rRNA from 1 species